ensembl:lncRNA
CCCAGGGCCUGGCCUCCUCCCCCAGGGCCUGGCCUCCUCCCUCUGGUCCUCCCCCAGGGCCUGUCCUCCUCCCUCUGGUGAAUACAGUCGGUCAGAAAGCAAACACAGCAACAUGACUCUGAAACAUACCAGACGGGUGGAGUAAGGAUGGUAAGCUUGUAUUUUAUUACAAAACAGAGCAGGUGAAUACAGUCGGUCAGUAAACAAACACAGCAACAUGACUCUGAAACAUACCAGACGGGUGGAGUAAGGAUGGUCAGCUUGUAUUUUAUUACAAAACAGAGCAGUUAUUUGGGAGAGUAAGGAGAGCGUGUAAACAUACAUUAUUCAUACAAAGACAAAGAAUAGCAAGAGAUAAUAUACAGCUUCAACACAAAUAUAGGAAACGUGGGUAAUUGAUAUAUAGGAAUAUACGUAGGAAAUAGCAACAGAAUCCUCCAUGUUGCUUUCAUUGCAGCCUCAUGGUUUUAAAUGUGGGUAAUUGAUAUAUAGGAAUAUACGUAGGAAAUAACAGAAUCCUCCAUGUUGCUUUCAUUGCAGCCUCAUGGUUUUAAACGUGGGUAAUUGUGAAUACUUGACUGUUAGUGCUAAAGGAGAGAGAACUGUGAAUAUAGUCUCGUCAACCAGGCUACUAUGACUAUACUGUAACAAAUAAAUUCUGUUAGCAUUUUCUUUUCUAGGAGAUAAAAUGUUGAAACAAUUACACUAUUUAUGGCUCGACUGAAAUCAGAGAGAGAGCCUUUAAUAACAGAUAGAAAAAGUACAAUGAUUCAAAUCAACAAAGAAGCAGAGCCAGAAUAUUUGACCUUUACCUGGAUAUCUACAUUGAUUAACCAAUCAAGGAGGAAGGACCAGAAGUCUGGCAGGCUCUCAUAACUCUGAGCUCCAUAACCAAAGUUAUUUGUGAUUACAUUACUUGAUGCUCAUUGGUCAGUCUUAGGAUUCAUCCAAAAUGGCACCCUAUUCCCUUUACAGUACUUCUGGUCCCUAGUGCACUAUAUAGGGAAUAGGGUGCCAUUUGGGAUGAAUGGACCCGGGUUAUUCCCUAUGGAUUAUGGUAAAAAGUAGGUCACUAUAUAGGGAAUAGGGUGCCAUUUGGGAUGAAUGGACCCGGGUUAUUCCCUAUGGAUUAUGGUAAAAAAGUAGGUCACUGUAUAGGAAAUAUGUUGCGAUUUGGGACGUAGACUGAGUUAUGACUGAGAAUUAAUAUAGGCGUCACUAUUAAGAUACCUGGAAUAAGGUCUGUUCACUGGCAUAUUCACUCACUGUUGCCCACACUAGAAAAAUGACCAAUCUCACACAGGGUAAAAAAGGAACAGUCAGCCACCUUAAUGCAUCCCUGUACAGAUAAGAUACCUGUGAAGAAGUCGUCUUCUUCAAUAAUGCUUUUCUUUCUGAAGCCAAACACACAUAUUUAUACACAGGGGCGAAUCUUUGGUUUUAGAAGUUGGGGAGGAAAUAUCAAAAACAAAAUGUAUCCAGUCAGAUAAACACUCCAAACAGCCUACCCAACCUCAGAGGCAUCCGCAUGGUCCUAAAGCACACCGUUGCCUCGUUUAGUAUCACGUUCCAAUGAUAAAACUGGGGGGCGGACGACAAAAAUACAAUUUCCGAAUGUGGGGGGGGGACAUGUCCCCCCUGUUCCCAGUGAAAGUUGCAAUCCCGUUUAUACACAUCUUUCAUUAACACUUUGUGUAUUUAAAUAGUCAUUUUAACAGAUAUUCUCUGUCUGUAUGUCCAGACACAAAGCAUCAUCAACAUGUUACAGACCACAACACAGUUAGCGUCUGGUUUAACACAGCAGAACUGAUGCGUCGGUGUGGUUCAACAACAACAAAUUAAAAUGGAGAGAUUCUACCUGAACGUCUCCAAUAACAACACAAAGGUUAAUUUUCUAUUGCAAAACAUUUUGCUACGGUGUGCCCUAAUGAACACUAAAACGGUCCAGUUCAAUAGUGAGACAGCUGGACUGUCCUAGUGAGGGCCCUAGAGGUGAGUGAGAACCGCAUCCCAAAUGGCACCCUAUCUUGGACCCGGGCCUACAGGGCCCAAUGUAGGGAACAGGGUGCCAUUUGGAAUGCAACGGACAUGUUGAUGCAGUCAGGCCAGGUGCACUCGACUACUGGUGCACUCGACUACUGGUGCACUCGACUACUGGUGCACUCGACUACUGGUGCACUCGACUACUGCAGCUAUGAACAGUUUCUACCUCUCUUUUUAAGUGGGGAAGGAAGGAAGUGGUUAGCUGUUAUUAUCAGACACUCUGUAGCCUGUUAGCUCUGACAUGAUUGCAGUACCUGACUGACACACACUUGCAGAAGGAUUUUCAUUGCAGAGAAAUAUGGACAAAUCAUAGGCAAAUAGAAGCAGAGAAUUUGCAUCCGAAUUUCACAAAACUGAUCUAACCUGAUCUGCAGGUGGAGAAAGAGGAACACACACACACACCUCUCCAGUUUGGUGUACACACACACACACACACACACACACACACACACACACACACACACACACACCUCUCCAGUUUGGUGUACACACACUUCUCUCUGCUCUAAACGUCCUGCUGUAACCAGUGUUUGAUAACCGCCACACGGUCCUAUGCUUCCAUCUGUCUGCUUUACGACCCUCCUAACGCUAGUUAACCAACAGCAUCAGGCUGGGAGAGUUAAGGCUAAACUCUCAACGCUAGUUAACCAACAGCAUCGGGCUGGGAGAGUUAAGGCUAAACUCUCAACGCUAGGGAAACAGAGGAAAAUCUCCUCCCGCCCACAGUCCACUUUAUUACAGGAAAUGACAAGGGGUUGAGGCAACACCAACAGACAAAUAGGUUACUUUGUCACAGUAAUGAACGUGUGUACCAUGUCACAGUAAUGAAUGUGUGUACCAAGACACUGAUAAUGUGAGGAAAAUGUCAGUUAGAAUGUGAAACAGAACUGGUGUUGAUGUAACAAUGAACUAACUAGAUGAUUUAUCAUUCUGACAGGUAGCAGGCUCUAGUCAAGAUGCUAUAGCUAGCAGGCUCUAGUCAAGAUGCUAUAGCUAGCAGGCUCUAGUCAAGAUGCUAUAGCUAGCAGGCUCUAGUCAA